ACCACACUCACACACACACUCCCUCCUCGUCUAUCUUAACAACACAUUCCAACGCACUACCCUUCAUCUUUUUAUUAAACUCCUACAUCGUACCUCCAUCGCACCACCUUCCAUUUCCUUAUCUUUCACUCCAACUCACAUUACCUCCCUCACCGUUGCUGAACCCACCCUACACUAUUCUCGCUUACGAUACAACGCUCCAAUCCCCAACGGUCCAUCUCCACGGACUAGUUUCCUCAUUCUACACGGGUCCAAUGAUACUUUCUUGGUAAGCAAAAGGGAUACAAAGGAAAAGGGAUGUUGCAUUCUCAUUUGGAACAAGCCUAUCAGCCUAUCCAAUAAUGUAAUUUAUUAUUAUUACCAUCUCCAACCAGCUUCCUUCUUUACCUAUCUUUACGCUGCGACCGAUCCAAUGAAAAUUCAAAGAAGCUUAGGUAGAGUGGGUGCAAGUAGAAUAUCGGAGUUUAAGAAAUGUACCAAUGUGCGUUAAAAGAAUGGUUUCGCAAAGAUUA